rnacentral:tRNA from 1 species
GAACCCUUGGCACAGUGGUAGCGCGUGAGAUUCCAGCCUGCGGAGUGAUCCGCCAAGGGAAGUCCUCAAGGUCGUCCGUUCGAUCCGGGCAGGGUUCA